UCGUAACAAGGUCUCCGUUGGUGAACCAGCGGAGGGAUCAUUACCGAGUUUACAACUCCCAAACCCCAUGUGAACGUUACCAAACUGUUGCCUCGGCGGGAUCUCUGCCCCGGGUGCGUCGCAGCCCCGGACCAAGGCGCCCGCCGGAGGACCAACCAAAACUCUUAUUGUAUACCCCCUCGCGGGUUUUUUUAUAAUCUGAGCCUUCUCGGCGCCUCUCGUAGGCGUUUCGAAAAUGAAUCAAAACUUUCAACAACGGAUCUCUUGGUUCUGGCAUCGAUGAAGAACGCAGCGAAAUGCGAUAAGUAAUGUGAAUUGCAGAAUUCAGUGAAUCAUCGAAUCUUUGAACGCACAUUGCGCCCGCCAGUAUUCUGGCGGGCAUGCCUGUCCGAGCGUCAUUUCAACCCUCGAACCCCUCCGGGGGGUCGGCGUUGGGGAUCGGCCCUGCCUUGGCGGUGGCCGUCUCCGAAAUACAGUGGCGGUUCGCCGCAGCCUCUCCUGCGCAGUAGUUUGCACACUCGCAUCGGGAGCGCGGCGCGUCCACAGCCGUUAAACACCCAACUUCUGAAAUGUUGACCUCGGAUCAGGUAGGAAUACCCGCUGAACUUAAGCAUAUCAAUAAAGCGGA
rnacentral:rRNA from 1 species